rnacentral:rRNA from 1 species
ACUUGAAUUGAAGAGUUUGAUCAUGGCUCAGAUUGAACGCUGGCGGCAGGCUUAACACAUGCAAGUCGAACGGUAGCAGGA